AGUGAACGCUGGCGGUAGGCCUAACACAUGCAAGUCGAACGGCAGCACAGAGGAGCUUGCUCCUUGGGUGGCGAGUGGCGGACGGGUGAGGAAUACAUCGGAAUCUACUCUGUCGUGGGGGAUAACGUAGGGAAACUUACGCUAAUACCGCAUACGACCUACGGGUGAAAGCAGGGGAUCUUCGGACCUUGCGCGAUUGAAUGAGCCGAUGUCGGAUUAGCUAGUUGGCGGGGUAAAGGCCCACCAAGGCGACGAUCCGUAGCUGGUCUGAGAGGAUGGUCAGCCACACUGGAACUGAGACACGGUCCAGACUCCUACGGGAGGCAGCAGUGGGGAAUAUUGGACAAUGGGCGCAAGCCUGAUCCAGCCAUACCGCGUGGGUGAAGAAGGCCUUCGGGUUGUAAAGCCCUUUUGUUGGGAAAGAAAUCCAUCUGGUUAAUACCCGGGUGGGAUGACGGUACCCAAAGAAUAAGCACCGGCUAACUUCGUGCCAGCAGCCGCAGUAA
rnacentral:rRNA from 1 species